UACGUAGGGGGCAAGCGUUGUCCGGAUUUAUUGGGCGUAAAGAGCGUGUAGGCGGCUUGACAGGUCUGCUGUGAAAACUCGAGGCUCAACCUCGAGACGCCGAUGGAAACCCCCUGGCUAGAGUCCGGAAGAGGAGAGUGGAAUUCCUGGUGUAGCGGUGAAAUGCGCAGAUAUCAGGAAGAACACCCGUGGCUAAGGCGGCUCUCUAGUACGGUACUGACGCUGAGACGCGAAAGCGUGGGGAGCGAACAGG
rnacentral:rRNA from 1 species